GUAAGAGCAAAGCAGGGGACCUUCGGGCCUUGCGCUACCGGAUAUGCCCAGGUGGGAUUAGCUAGUUGGUGAGGUAAGGGCUCACCAAGGCGACGAUCCCUAGCUGGUCUGAGAGGAUGAUCAGCCACACUGGAACUGAGACACGGGUCCAGACUCCUACGGGAGCAGCAGUGGGAUAUUGCACAAUGGGCGCAAGCCUGAUGCAGCCAUGCCGCGUGUAUGAAGAAGGCCUUCGG
rnacentral:rRNA from 1 species